rnacentral:miRNA from 3 species
UUUGUACUUCGGCUAAGGUGCUG